UACGGGGGGAGCAAGCGUUGUUCGGAUUUAUUGGGCGUAAAGAGCUCGUAGGCGGUUCGGCAAGUCGACGGUGAAAUCUCCACGCUCAACGUGGAGGGGUCCGUCGGUACUGCUGUGACUCGAGUCCGGUAGGGGAGUGUGGAAUUCCCGGUGUAGCGGUGAAAUGCGUAGAUAUGCGGAGGAACACCGAUGGCGAAGGCAAUCCCCUGGGCCUGUACUGACGCUCAUGCACGAAAGCGUGGGGAGCAAACAGG
rnacentral:rRNA from 1 species